rnacentral:rRNA from 1 species
UUUCCAGACUCCUACGGGAGGCAGCAGUGGGGAAUAUUGCGCAAUGGGGGGAACCCUGACGCAGCAACGCCGCGUGAAGGAGGAAGUAUUUCGGUAUGUAAACUUCUAUCAGCAGGGAAGAAGGAAGUGACGGUACCUGCAUAAGAAGCCCCGGCUAAUUACGUGCCAGCAGCCGCGGUAAUACGUAAGGGGCAAGCGUUAUCCGGAUUUACUGGGUGUAAAGGGUGAGUAGGCGGUUCGGCAAGUCAUAUGUGAAAUACCUGGGCUCAACCCAGGAACCGCAUAAGAAACUGUCGGACUUGAGUACAGGAGAGGUAAGCGGAAUUCCCAGUGUAGCGGUGAAAUGCGUAGAUAUUGGGAAGAACACCGGUGGCGAAGGCGGCUUACUGGACUGAAACUGACGCUGAGUCACGAAAGCGUGGGGAGCGAACAGGAUUAGAUACCCCCGUAA